AUUUGUAUAGUUUAAUAAAAACAAUACAUUUUCAUUGUAUAAAUAAUAAUUUCAUAUAUUUACAAAUA
rnacentral:tRNA from 1 species